ensembl:lncRNA
AUGGCGGCGCGGCCACACGCAGCGGCUUCUCUCUGUCCCGACAGAACGGUGUUUUCGUGUUUUUUGUCUUGUGAGUCGCAGUGUUUUUGCACGUUGUCGUCACGUCUACCUGUCUGUAAGCGCAAAUACAGUCGCGAGUUUCUGCUCGAUGUCGGCAGAACCGCAUUUUUACAGUUAAACUCCGCGCAAGCGGAACAGCUGCGGGAUCUCGAUCUGCUACGGAGGCCUUCACCAUCAUCGACCCCCACUACUGCAUCUCGCCCGCAGCGGAGGCGCCACAAGCGGCGUGAGAGGAAGCAGAAGAGGGGGAAGCGCGGAGGUAUCCGGGCUAGGCUAACGGCUAACCCACACAAGCCAUCUGUCCCCACCAUCGUACUGGCUAACGUACGCUCGUUGGACAAUAAACUGGACUACAUUCGUUUACUACGCUCAACUCAGAGGACUGUAAGAGACUGUUGUGUUUUUGUGUUCACGGAAACAUGGCUCAGCAACAGCGUUCCAGAUGGCGCUAUUCAGCUCGACCAGCUGACGUGCUAUCGAGCGGACAGAGCUCUCGUCGCGGGAGGAAAAACCCGCGGCGGCGGGCUUUGUGUUUACAUCAAUGACGCGUGGUGCCGCGAUACUGUUGUGAUCAGCAAACACUGCUCAACCCUGGUGGAGUUUAUGAUUAUUAAGUGCCGGCCGUUCUAUCUGCCGAGGGAAUAUACUGCUAUACUGCUCAUUUCAGUGUACAUUCCCCCAUUCAACAUCACCAGCAACAGGAACGACGCACUUAAUGAACUGUACCAACACAUCAGUGAGCAGCAGACAGCACACCCGGAUGCUUUUCUCAUCAUAGCUGGGGAUUUCAACCAUGCUGACCUUAAGAGUGUGUUUCCAAAAAUACACCAGCACAUCAACUUUCCAACACGAGGUAAUAACAUUUUGGACUUUGUUUACACCACACAGAGAGGAGCUUACAAAGCCCUCCCCCUCCCCCACCUCGGAGCCUCAGAUCACAUCACUGUUAUGCUAAUGCCUGCAUACAGACCACUCAUUAAAGUCGCCAAACCAGUUUACAAACAGAUUAAAGUGUGGCCAGAAGGAUCAUCAGAGAUUCUUCAGGACUGCUUCAACACAACUGACUGGGACAUGUUUAAACAGGCUGCCACAUGCAAUAACACCACUGACCUCCAGGAGUACUCAGAGACUGUUACUGCCUACAUCAAUAAGUGUAUUGAUGAUGUAACGAUCACAAAAACUAUCACUGUCCGGGCCAACCAGAAGCCAUGGAUGACGGGGGAGGUCUACAGACUCCUGAAGACACGGAAUGCUGCCUUCAGAGCUGGAGAUGAGGUGGGCCUGAGAACAGCUAGGGCCAACCUGUCCCGCGGCAUCAGAGAGGCUAAGAGACAGCACUCCAGGAGGAUAGCUCACCAAUUCAGCGACAGCAGAGACACUCGGAGCCUGUGGCAGGGGAUACAGACCAUUACGGACUACAAGCCCCCACAGCGGACCUGUGACAGCAACAUCUCUCUGCUGAACGAGCUGAACACCUUCUUCGCU